GAGUUUGAUCGUGGCUCAGAUUGAACGCUGGCGGCAGGCCUAACACAUGCAAGUCGAGCGGUAGAGAGAAGCUUGCUUCUCUUGAGAGCGGCGGACGGGUGAGUAAUGCCUAGGAAUCUGCCUGGUAGUGGGGGAUAACGCUCGGAAACGGACGCUAAUACCGCAUACGUCCUACGGGAGAAGGCAGGGGACCUUCGGGCCUUGCGCUAUCAGAUGAGCCUAGGUCGGAUUAGCUAGUUGGUGAGGUAAUGGCUCACCAAGGCGACGAUCCGUAACUGGUCUGAGAGGAUGAUCAGUCACACUGGAACUGAGACACGGUCCAGACUCCUACGGGAGGCAGCAGUGGGGAAUAUUGGACAAUGGGCGAAAGCCUGAUCCAGCCAUGCCGCGUGUGUGAAGAAGGUCUUCGGAUUGUAAAGCACUUUAAGUUGGGAGGAAGGGCAGUAAAUUAAUACUUUGCUGUUUGACGUUACCGACAGAAUAAGCACCGGCUAACUCUGUGCCAGCCGCCG
rnacentral:rRNA from 1 species